CCGUAACAGAGGGAAGCAAGAUAGUGAUAUGGAGCAAAACCCUAAAAAGCGGUCUCAGUUCGGAUUGAAGGCUGAAAUUCGCCUUCAUGAAGCUGGAAUUGCUAGUAAUGGCAGGUCAGCAUACUGCCGUGAAUACGUUCCCGGGCCUUGUACACACCGCCCGUCACACCAUGAGAGUUGGGAACACCCGAAGUCCGUAGUCUAACCGCAAGGAGGGCGCGGCCGAAGGUGGGUUCGAUAAUUGGGGUGAAGUCGUAACAAGGUAGC
rnacentral:rRNA from 1 species